rnacentral:rRNA from 1 species
UACAGAGGGUGCGAGCGUUGUUCGGAAUUACUGGGCGUAAAGCGCGUGUAGGCGGCCUUGCAAGUCGGAUGUGAAAGCCCACGGCUCAACCGUGGAAGUGCAUCCGAAACUGCAUAGCUUGAGUCUCGGAGAGGAAGGUGGAAUGCUUGGUGUAGAGGUGAAAUUCGUAGAUAUCAAGCAGAACACCUGCGGCGAAGGCGGCCUUCUGGACGAUGACUGACGCUGAGACGCGAAAGCGUGGGGAGCAAACGGG